GCAAACAUUAGGAGAGGACC
rnacentral:miRNA from 1 species